ensembl:lncRNA
CUAAGAAUGAAAAACACAUCAAAAUAUAUUAAAAAGCUUAACUGCUUCAUGAGCAAUAGGCUACCCUAGAAACCCUCUCAACUCACAUGGUAAGGAGAUAUCUAUAUCUAUACACACAAACCAAUGUUCACCAAAACAUCACUUCUUACAAAUAAACAGGAACUAAGUGUCCAUGGGCAGGAAAAUGGAUAAAUAAUGAUAUAGCCACACAAAGGAUGGGCUAGAUCAGAAGUCAGCAAACUUUUUCUGUAAUGAGCCAGGCAGUAAAUAUUCUAGGCUUUCCAGGCCAUACAGUCUCUAUCACAACUACUCAACUCUGAUGCGUUGGUGUACAAGCAGCCAUAGAUAGUAAAGUUUAUUUACAAAAAGAGGGGGCUGGCUAGACUUGGCACAUGGGCCAUACAUAGCUUGUGAACCCCUGAACUUGAUCCACAUCUAUCAACAUGGAAACCUGUUAAACAAUGUCAAGGCAAGGAAACCGCAAGUUUCAAAACAAUAUGCAAGGCAUGAUUCAUUAACACAAAGCUUAAAAAUCUGAGGGCAACACUUUAUCAUAAUUGUGGAUACAUACAUAUUAGUAAAUGUAUCAAAACACACUCAACUGAUAAACUUUGCUUUCAUGACAAAGAGGAGAUGUAGAAGAAUCAAGCAUAACUUUUUAAUAUUUCUUUCAAGUUCAAAUACCCAAACCCCAAGCAAAUAAGGAUAAUGCCAUGAUCUUUUAAAAGCUGGAUGAUAGAUACACAGGUAAUUAUCACAUUAUUCACUUAGGAUUGUAUUUGAAACACAUCUCAAAAAUUUCUUUUUAGGAGUUCCCAUCAUGGUGCAGUAGAAACGAAUCUGACUAGAAACCAUGAGGCUGCGGGUUCAAUCCCUGGCCUUGCUCAGUGGGUUAAGGAUCUGGCAUUGCUGUGAGCUAUGGUGUAGGUUGCAGAUGCGGCUCGGAUCCUGCAUUGCUGUGAAGUAGAUCUGCAGCUGUGGCUCUGAUUAGACCCCUAGCCUGGGAACCUCCAUAUGCCACGGGUGCAGCCCUAAAAAGCAAAAAAAAAAAAGAAGAACAGAAAAAGAAAAAACAUAUUUUUAAAUGUUCAAUAGGAACAGUCAUCACCCUUUAUUUUGAGGAAUCAAAGCUUAAAAAUCAAGUUAAAUCUGUUUUUGCUCUGCAUUAAUUUAAUCCAUUGCUAAAACAGACUAAAGAACUGCUGCAUUAUAAAUGAGACUAGGCAGUGAAAACAGCCACUCCAUCUUUGAGAAACAAAAGUAUAUAUUAUGAAAAACACCUAGACAAAAUUGUUUUUAAAAGCAUUCGCUGUUUUUUUAAUUACUCAAGUAAUUCAUGCUAUGUGUAAGGGGAGAAGAAAAGUCUUAGAAAACAAAGACAAACACAAAGAAAAACGUAACGCAUGAAUCAUCCUACCACCCAACCAUAACUAUUAACAUUUGGAUGUGGGUCCCCCUCUAGGAUUUGUCACAUGCAUUUCUUAACUUACGAAACUGGCAUACCAAAUAUACAUACUGUUUUGUGGACAGUUUAUUUGAACAGUUUUUAUUAAAAAAUUUAUGUACACACCUCUCUUUUGCUGUAUUUUUCUCUCAAAACAAUUGCCAUGCUAGAUAUACAGAGUUCAGUCCUGACAGCUUAAGACUCUGAUCCCAGUUGUCAACCAUAUGGAGAAAUGCAUUUCACCUACAUUUGUCAUCUAGACCAAACGGAAGCCCCCCCCCCAACUCCAAAAGCCCUCCCUGAGCCACUACUCAGAGCUGCCUGUUCUAAGCUGUUUAUAAAAAUUGUCAGGCCAGCUACUGCCUCUGUAGACCGGGAGUAUCUAAUGAAAAAUACAACAUGCAAAGCUGUUACUUGUUUGUCCUCAAAACAUCUCUGAAGAAUAUAAACUAAAACAACUGCUAACCUUACUUUGCAAACAGAGCAGCUCUGUUAAGGAGAUUAAUGAGUAACUUGUUGAAUAACUUGCUCCUUCCCUAUAGCAGAACCUUCAUCCCUUAAACAAGGCUUACUGCAAACUCAGACUUCCAUUAGUGUUGCUGGCUGAAUGCUUUGCCACACCUAUUACACCUGUUAUCAGCAAGCAAUUUAGCAUCGACUGCCUUUAGAAUGCUGGGCUUCCUCUGCCACUGAAGAGUACUGUUUACAAUCUCAUGCCUCUUGCAUGAACAAAUUGGGCUUUUCUUAACUUUGCAUCUCCACGCCGACCUCCUCUCUUAAUUCCAAACCUGCCUUUCUAACAAUUUCAAACAUCCACCUCAUCACCCUUUUUGGUUAGCCAAUGGAGCUUUCCUGUUAGGAAAACGGAGGGAAUAAAGAGGAAAGGAAUCAUGCUCAUUCGGCCAUUAUCUCACCAGAACUAUGAAGAGCCACUCUUCCCAGAAGGGCAAAGCACGGGCUGUGGCAGAUCUGUCCAGGAACCUACACAGUCCAGUGGCCAGGAGUUCACUGGUCCUGCUCAUCUCUCCACCACUCCCAUUGGCUUAGGUUUCCCCUUUCCCUGCUGUUCCUCCCCAUGUUUCUUUCUCCUGUCCCUACACCAGCUCUCUCUCUUGUAUCUCCAGUUCAGAUGUCUAAAAAAGAACUGCUCCACUCAGCCCUUACAAGCCUAAUCAUCUGAAGUUCCACUGACCAGCCAAUGAGCAAAUAUCCAAAGGUCAGACCCCUUUCCCUGAUCAAUUAACUGUGACCAUGGUGGAUGGCGGGAAGGGUCAGGAAAGACAGAGCUGGCCAAAAGCAAAGAAUGGUCCAGCACCAUUUUUGCCAGCAAAAGACCGAAGUGAGCAAGCUUCUGCGAGCUGGCCUGUCUUGUAACUAAACACAUCAUAUUAGUGGGCUGUCUCAAACUAAACACAUCAUAUGAGUCUCAAACCAACUUCUUCUAAGGUCUGCAUUUCUAUGAGGGCAUCACCAUUAUCCAAAUUCGUCAAGCACAAAACACUGGUGUUCUCACUCAUUCACAAAUAUCCUUGGCACAGUAUAAAGUGGCUUUCCACCAUCCUCUACUUCCCAGUUCCACUGGCAUCUGAUAUUAGACCUUUGGUCUUUCCUAGUUAACCUGGUUUAACCACUUAGUGUCUUUCUUACUCCAAUCCAAUCAACUUAUAUUUUCCAGAUCAGACAUCUAAUCACCUUUCAAAGUUACUACUCCCUGCUCAAAACUAUGGCGUAGUCACCUCCCCUCCCCUGUUGCCAGCCAAAAACAGGUCCAAACCCCUAACCCACGAGGAGAGCCCACAAUAAGGCCUAUGCCUAUUUACCUAGACUUGUCACAUGCUUUGUCCCUUAUUACAGCUAAACUCACUUCUGUACCAACAAAGAAACCAUUCUGUUGUCUCCCAGCCUCUAUUGAUGCUACUUCCUCCAUCUGAUAGGCUUUAGAAUCCUCCCAGGGCACCACUUGCCAAAAUCUUGUCAUUCUCCAAGGUCAAUUCGGUCCACGUGACCUUUCCAAACUCCCCAGCUGGCUGAGCUCUCUCCCUUGGGCCAAGAGCACCUAAUUUAAACUUUGAGUACUUUCAGUCCAGUGCUGUCCAAUAGAGAGAGAGAUAUUGACAAGCUACAUUAUCUAAAUUUCUAGGAGCCGCAUUAAUUAAAAAGAAACAAGUGAAAUUCAUUUCAUUGUUUUCUUUAAUUCAAUGUCAAAAUACUGCCUUUCAACAUGUAAUCAAUAUAAAAAUUGAGGCAUUUUAUAUUUUUGCAUAUUAAAUCUUCAAAAUCUGAUCUGCAUAUAAAAUACUUAGAGCAUAUCUCAAUUUGGACUAUCCACCUGGGAAGUGCUCAAGUGGCUGCUUAUUUGGAUAGUGCAUGAUCAGCUCUUUCAAGCUAAAAAUGGGGAUGCUUCCUUCCUUCCCACUCCUAUGAGGCCAUAUAACACCUCAAAUUUUUUUAAAUCCCAAACUCCUAACUUAUCCCUCUCUCCUCUUUCCCCUUUGGUAACCGUAAGUUUGUUUUCUAUGUCUGUGAGUCCAUUUCUUUUUUGUAAAUAAGUUCACUUGUAUCAUUUUUUUUCAGAUUCCACAUAUAAGUGAUAUUGCGUAUUUUUCUUGUCUGACUUAAUUCUCUUAAUGUCCAUGCUGCUGAAAGUGGCAUUAUUUCAUUUUUUUAAUGGCUGACUAAUAUUCAAUUGUAUGUAUGCAUACACAUACACCCCACAUGUCCUUUAUCCAUUCAUCUGUUGAUGGACAUUUAGGUUGCUUUCAUGUCUUGGCUAUUGUAAAUAGUGCUGCAACAACAUGGAUGCAAUGAGAGAUUCUCAUACUAAGUGAAGUCAGAAAGAAAAAGACAAAUACUAUAUGAUGUCACUUAUAUGUGGAAUCUAAAAUGUGGCACAAAUGAACCUAUGUACAAAACAGAAACAGACUCACAGACAUAGAGAGCAGACUUGUGGUUGCCAAGGGGGAGAUGGGUAUGAGUGGGAUGGAUUGGAAGUCUGGAGUUAGUAGAUGCAAACGAUUACAUUUAGAAUGGAUAAGCAAUGAGAUCUUACUGUACAGCACAGGGAACUAUAUCCAGUCUCCUGGGAUAUAGCAUGAUUCAAAAUAGUAUUUAAAAAUCAUGUAUAUAUAUAUAUGUAUGACUGAGUCACUUUGCUAUACAGCAGAAAUUGGCACACUGUAAAUCAACUAUACUUAAAUUUUUUUUGAAAUAUUGCUACAAUGAAUAUUGGGGUGCAUGUAUCUUUUUGAAUUAGAGUUUUCAUCUUUUCUGGAUAUAUGAGGAGGAUUGCUGGAUCAUAUAGUAAUUCCAUGUUUAGUUUGUUAAGGAACCUCCAUAUUGUUCUCCAUAGUGGCUGCACUAAUUUACAUCCAUACCAACAGUGGUAGGAGGGUUCCCUUUUCUCCACAGCCUCUCCAACAUUUAUUAUUUGUUGACUUUUUGAUGACAGCCAUUCUGACUAGUGUUGAUACCUCAAUGUAGUUUUGAUAUGCAUUUCUCUAAUAAUUAGUGAUACUAAGUACCUUUUCACAUACCUGUUGGCCAUCUGGAUGACUUCUAAACUUUCAUUUUUGAGGCUAAGUAUUAUAUCCUCCUUAUAUUGGUAUCGCCUAGAGCAGAAGUCAGUAAACUACAGCCCAAGGGUCAAAUCUGGGUGGCCACCUCUUUUUGUAAAUAAACUUUUAUUUUAAUAUAGCCUUGCUUGUUCUUUUAAAUUUGUCUAUGCUGCUUUCACAGGACAAAGGUAGAGUUGAAUAGAUGCUACAGAGACCACAAGGCCCACAAAGCCUAAAAUA